rnacentral:tRNA from 1 species
GAGGGUAGAGCUAAGUGGUAGAGUGUGUGCUUAGCAUGCACAGGGUCCUGGGUUCAAUCCCAGUACCUCCA